rnacentral:rRNA from 1 species
CCCUAUUAUUUUUAAUGUAAAAUAUAAAAAACCAGAGUAUUAGUAGUUAUGGUCUUAAAACUUGAAGAAUUUGGCGGUAUUAUAGUCUAUUUAGAGGAAUCUGUUAUGUAAUUGAUAAUCCACGUUGAACCUUACUUGUAUUAAUUCUUGUAUACCGCUGUUUAAGAAAAUAUUUUUAGGUAAUUUUCUUAAUAUAUAAUUAAAUAAAAUUUCAAGUCAAGGUGCAGUAAUAUAUAAGUUGAAUAAUGGAUUACAAUAAAAUAUAUUUAUUAUGGAUAAUUAUUGUAAUAUAAUUUGAAGGUGGAUUUAAUWGUAAUUUSUAAAGCUCUGGUUUUUKNAUAUUUUACA